UACAGAGGUCCCAAGCGUUGUUCGGAUUCACUGGGCGUAAAGGGUGCGUAGGUGGCCAGGUAAGUUUGGUGUGAAAGCUCGGAGCUUAACUCCGAAAAGUCAUUGAAUACUAUCUGGCUGGAGGGUCGGAGGGGAGACUGGAAUUCUCGGUGUAGCAGUGAAAUGCGUAGAUAUCGAGAGGAACACCAGUGGCGAAGGCGGCUCACUGGUCCGGUACUGACGCUGAGGUGCGAAAGCGUGGGGAGCAAACAGG
rnacentral:rRNA from 1 species